rnacentral:rRNA from 2 species
CUACGGGAGGCAGCAGUGGGGAAUCUUAGACAAUGGGCGCAAGCCUGAUCUAGCGAUGCCGCGUGAGUGAUGAAGGCCCUAGGGUCGUAAAGCUCUUUCGCCAGGGAUGAUAAUGACAGUACCUGGUAAAGAAACCCCGGCUAACUCCGUGCCAGCAGCCGCGGUAAUACGGAGGGGGUUAGCGUUGUUCGGAAUUACUGGGCGUAAAGCGCACGUAGGCGGAUUAGUCAGUCAGAGGUGAAAUCCCAGGGCUCAACCCUGGAACUGCCUUUGAUACUGCUAGUCUAGAGUUCGAGAGAGGUGAGUGGAAUUCCGAGUGUAGAGGUGAAAUUCGUAGAUAUUCGGAGGAACACCAGUGGCGAAGGCGGCUCACUGGCUCGAUACUGACGCUGAGGUGCGAAAGUGUGGGGAGCAAACAGGAUUAGAUACCCUGGUAGUCCACACCGUAAACGAUGAAUGCCAGACGUCGGGCAGUAUACUGUUCGGUGUCACCCCUAACGGAUUAAGCAUUCCGCCUGGGGAGUACGGUCGCAAGAUUAAAACUCAAG